CCUACGGGAGGCAGCAGUGAGGAAUAUUGGUCAAUGGGCGCGAGCCUGAACCAGCCAAGUCGCGUGAAGGAUGACUGCCCUACGGGUUGUAAACUUCUUUUAUAAAGGAAUAAAGUGAGGCACGUGAGCGUUCUCGUAGGUACUUUAUGAAAAAGGAUCGGCCAACUCCGUGCCAGCAGCCGCGGUAAUACGGAGGAUCCGAGCGUUAUCCGGAUUUAUUGGGUUUAAAGGGAGCGGAGGUGGGUGGUUAAGUCAGUUGUGAAAGUUUGCGGCUCAACCGUAGAAGUGCAAUUGAUACUGGCAGUCUUGAGUGCAGUUGAGGUAGGCGGAAUUCGUGGUGUAGCGGUGAAAUGCUUAGAUAUCACGAAGAACCCCGAUUGCGAAGGCAGCUUACUGAACUGUGACUGACAUUGAUGCUCGAAAGUGUGGGUAUCAAACAGGAUUAGAUACCCGAGUAGUC
rnacentral:rRNA from 1 species